UUGGCACAGAUGCGGUCAUCCGUCAAAUAAGUAUCAAGAAAAAAAAGUUGAGCAGGGCCAUCUCCAAUGACCAACUCCACCUGUGCAAGGUCCUGGCCAGGGGACGCAUCCCUGAACUUCUUGAUCAACUGUCUGAGGACCCCAACCCGGAGGCCCGCAGGAGAUUCUUCAGGUACCUCAGUGUUUAUCUAGCAAGCCUCAAUGGACACCGGACCGGUGUUCUCAAGAACAUGACAGUCGCGGAGGUUGACGACGCCCAGCAGGAGGCCAAAGUCGGGCAGGUGAAGGAGCACAAAAAAAUGUACCAGGUUUGCCUAGGUUGCGGCAGCCCUGGUCUCAGCUUGUGGCUCAGGCCGUCAGCUCUCCUGCUUUCUGGUGGUGGAGAUCACCUCCUGGGUCUCGAAAUUGGAUGCCCAUCUGGGGUAUUGGUACCUGGACCUGGGAGAAUAGGAUGUGUGUGGUUGGGUUUUGGGCUGCCCCUUCUCCUGGGGAAUCUCAGGUAUCCACUAUGUGUGGAGCCCACUGAACCCUCCCACCCUGUCUGACUCCCCUUUGGAGGUUGGGGUCUUGACCUGCUGUUUUGUUCUUGGAUUUACUCACCCACCUUGACGUCUUGCUCGAAGAACCAGCACCCUAAGAAUCCCUGGCACUCAGAUGUUGCUCUGGCAUUCCCCUUAGACUCCCUUGGUUUUACCAAGCCAGGCCUGAGACCCCUUCCCUGUAUUCUGCUGGUUCACCUGUACUCUGGCCAUCCCGUCUGUCCCUCCUGUCCGAUGUGGUGCGCUCCGGAUCCCUCGCCUGCUUACCAUCUGUCUGCCCUCCAGCUGCUAGCCACCUACCACCUACCAUCUACCGAGAGCUGCGGUCACAGAGUCCGCUCGUCAUUACUCUCCCCUAGCCCGACUAAAUGUACUCCUGCACUGACGUUCAGACCUCGACUGAUCCCACAAGCAGUGUCGAUCUCUGUAGCCUGAACCUUUAAUAAACAUCUUAAAAUAUUACCUGCUUUCCGUCUGAAUCUGCAUGUGGGCUAAACACUUAAAAACCAUGACAGUCGGAAAUCACAACUGACCUAAACCAGGAGGGUUUUAGUCUAGUUUAAUGUAAGACAAAAACAGCAAAA